GAGUUUGAUCAUGGCUCAGAUUGAACGCUGGCGGCAUGCCUUACACAUGCAAGUCGAACGGCAGCACGGGAGCUUGCUCCUGGGUGGCGAGUGGCGAACGGGUGAGUAAUGCAUCGGAACGUAUCCUGGAGUGGGGGAUAACGUAGCGAAAGUUACGCUAAUACCGCAUAUUCUGUGAGCAGGAAAGCGGGGGACCUUCGGGCCUCGCGCUCUUGGAGCGGCCGAUGUCGGAUUAGCUAGUUGGUGAGGUAAAGGCUCACCAAGGCGACGAUCCGUAGCAGGUCUGAGAGGAUGAUCUGCCACACUGGAACUGAGACACGGUCCAGACUCCUACGGGAGGCAGCAGUGGGGAAUUUGGACAAUGGGGGCAACCCUGAUCCAGCCAUGCCGCGUGAGUGAAGAAGG
rnacentral:rRNA from 1 species